CGUAAUCAGUUUUGGAACGUAUAAAAUUAGCCUGGAACUAGAAUGUUGCAUCACUUGCGGUAAAGCUGAUUAUAUAUCAAAUAUUUGAUGAAUGACUUGGUUUCUCGACAGAACUCAAGAAAUGAAAGUAGAGCUAAUCAUCACAUCUUGCCUAUUAACCUUUCUUGUGGUCGGAUUUGUAGAAGGCAGGAUUAUUUGCAAGGAAGAUUUUUUUACGUAUUAUUCGUAUAGUUACGACGGAUGCAGCGACCCUUUCAACUUUCCUUACAAGCGCCGUUUUCAGCCAGCAUGUGAUAAACACGAUCUCUGCUAUUCAUGUGGAUAUACACGUGGGGUGUCAAGGUCAAGGUGCGAUCGAAAAUUUCUCUACAAUAUGAGGCAUAUAUGUUAUUCUUCUACUAGUAGCCGGACUAUAUGGCGCUCCAAUUGCAUUGCAAACGCAAAUGUAUACUACGGUGCGGUUAACGGAUUUGGUGCUUUGAGUUUUUCAUCACGUCAUAAGAGUUGGUGCUCAAGGAAUUGGGUUUCGUCUUGUAUACAUGGCAAGGAAGUUUCCUGGAGAUCACAUACAUAACAACUACAUUGCAAUGUCGCCUGGAUGUAUAAUACCGCAAGGAUAUGAAUUAUAAUGUAAGACUGGUUGUUUUAGGAUAUAAAACUGUUAUAGUUAUAGCUUAUCUUUGUUAAAAGUUUCAAUAUUUUUUGACGCAGCUUGUUCUUGUUCAUCUUCGAAAAAGGCCCAAAAGCUUCACUAAUUCAAGUAAGAUGAACUUGAAACUUGGCAAUAGUUUUCCUUUGGCAAUCACGCAUCGAUCGACUGACUUCGGCUUUAUUUUGACGCCACCAUUCCAAGAUUGUAGCGAUGACGACAUACUGUGUACCCUGUCCCCCAUUCCGCUAUCUUCAUAAUAUAGAAAUUUUGAAUUCUUUUGGGGUGACCGGCUUGCCGUUAGCCACUUGUUCAUUUAAAGCAUGGUAUAAGUUACCUAUCUUCGUUGGAUUUUAACCUUUAACCUCACAGUAAACAGAUUUGCUGGGGCAACGGGAGCGGAGAAUAAAAUUACCCAUAUUUCUGGGUAUCCCUCUGCGCGACUCAAACCACAACGUAAUGAUAAUGGACGACUAACUUCCAGCAGCAGCAUUGACCUUCAUCAGGAGCAUGGACACGUGACCCGUACAGCGAAGCCCGUUUGUUGUCUGAGACGGUCUACAGCACAGCGGUGUAAGACUAGUUGCUCUUUCGACUGAAAUGCUUUGGAUAAUACUUGAUUAAAUUACCAUAUUACAAGAAUGAGAAAAUCUGUCCUUGUUAUAUUCUCAAAGAUUAUAUUUGACGUACAGAGCGUAAAAAAAAGCUCAGCAAUUAUUUGUUUCUUCUUUAAACUUUAGAUCUGUUGCUUCUAGCACUAUAUCCAGGUGGGUUAAAGAAACUUUGAAUUAUCUGGUGUAGGCGAGGAUAAAUUUAAAGCCCAUCCCGUAAGAUCAGCAUCUUCUUCUGCAUCCUUGGAUUCUGGAUGUCCUAUUUCAGAUAUUCCCAAGACCGCUAAUUGGUCAAAUCAGGAGUGUUCCCAGAAAUAUUAUAAUAGGGAAGAUGUGGCGUUCAAAUACUCUAGUUUAGUGUUAAAUAAUAAAUAAAUUAUGUUGA